GUAGGUGAACCUGCGGAAGGAUCAUUACAAAUUAGUUGUGAAUUUUGGGUGGUGUAAAGUGUAAAGUGUAAAGUGUAAAGUGUAAAGUGUGAUUUGUGAAGUGAAGUGUGAAGUGUGGUAUUUCGAUAUUACAUUACACACAUGCAUACAUUAAUUACAUUACUUGCACUACUCAUUAUCCAUUAUAGCCCACUCCUGAAAGGGAGAUGGACGCGCUAGUGCUAGUUCGCUGGCGCAAAUAGACCUUAAAUCAUGACUUAUUCAAAAAAGAAAAUAACCAAAACUUUUAACAAUGGAUCUCUUGGCUCUU
rnacentral:misc_RNA from 1 species